UUUUUUUUUUUUUUGUCAACAUUAUCUCUCUUAAACCAUUUCUAAUGUCAUUGUGAGUUUCAAUUGCCAUUGUAGUCUCUCUAGUAGUAUAACUCAUGUGCAACUUUAAUUUAAUUUUUAUCUCCAUCUUCACUGGUGGAAGUGGUGCUUGUAUUUUGCACACAAUUCGGAAUUAAAUAUUAAUAAACCUUAAUUUUUUUUCAAAUACAAAAUAGAACAAGGGGAAACAAAAAUAAAUAAAUAAUAAAUAGAAAAUACCAAAUCUUUAAUCUUUUGCAAAUAUCAUUAUAGGUUUCUAAACCAAAUAUUUAACUGUGUUUUUGUUUUGUAUCUAUCAAUUUAUUAGUUUGAUUUUAAAUUUUUAAUAUUUACCAUUAGUUUAAUGAAAAAACUAAUUGUGACACUUUAAUUCAAACUAUAAAAGGAUUACGUAUAAAAUUUUAAACUAUAGGAUGUUAUAUGCUAAUGUUCCAAAUUACACGAGGAUACAAAGUAAUUUACCUUAUUAAUAAUGUUGUUCUUUUAAUAUUCCACCAAGUGAACUCUAGAGUCUGUGGCUUUCCAAGCCUGAUAAUUGUACAGAAGGAAUUUCAGAAUCGUGUAAUCCUAUGUAGAAAAUUUCCUCCCUUCAUAGUACAGGUCAGUUGUAUUACAGCAGAAAUGGAGACGAUGGGAAAGUAUGACUGCAUGAGUCUUGAUUUAAUUUUUUUCUUGGUUUGAAAGACAAUGGAAUCAUGUAUGGCAAAUGUAUAACUUAGCAGUAUAAUGUUUCUAAACCAAAGAAUAAAUGAAGACCAAAUAAAGAUAAAAUAGAAUUAAAGAAAAGAACACAACAAAUUGACAAACUAAUACUAAAUAGACGUUUAACUAUUAUACCCAAUCUUACGGUUUACACCUUGCUUCCCCUGUUUAUACAAAACCGGGAUAUUUUUAGUACUUUACCAUUUGAUAUCAUCUUAAAAUUUAUCACAUUUAUUUCUUUGACAGUUUUAACCUUCUGGCACUAAAAAACUAAAUUUGUAUGCCACAUUUAACCUGUUAGCUCCAAAAUAAUGUUCUCUCUUUUCUUUUCUUUUCUUUUCUUUUUUUACAGAGAAUUGCUAUAUUUAUAUAAGAGUAAAAUCUAAUGAACGAUUAUGUUUGAUGUCGAAAAAUAGCUUAUAUUUUUUUAGGAGAAGAAAAGGAAACAAUAAAGGGAAAAAUAAGGAAAAACUAAAAGAUAUAUUCUCCAGUUAAAAUAUUGAGUUUUAUUUCUAUCAAUUGAAUUUCCAUGAUUUUUUGUGAGUUACAAGUAUGAGGAAGCACGAGACAAAUUUGGCUAAGAUUAGAACUAUAAGCUAUAUUUUGAAUAAGAAGAAAAACAGUAAGUUGUAUUAGGUAUCUAGCUUAAUUAUUCAUGAGAUAUUACCCUUAUAAACGAAACAAUUCUCUGUAAAAUUUAAAAAAAAUUACAUAAUUUUAGAACCGCAAGGCUAAAUUUGGUAUACAAAUUUAGUUUUUUGGUGUCAGAAGGUAAAACUGUCAAAAAAAUAAAAAUAAGGGCAUUACAGUCUUUUCAUAAUUUUUAAGUGGCAAUUUGUGUAUUUUGUGAAUGAAGUGGGGUAAUUUACAACUGAAGUUAUAGCAUUACAAGGGGUAGUUCGGGGGCAAUUUUUGUCAUUUACAUUCUCAUUUUAUAAGAAAUUUAGUGUUUGUUUAUCUCUCAUCCCUACCAAAGAAAUUCAGAGAGAAAAAAAAAAUCAAUUGUUCCUUGAUAGGCUAUGGAUAGCUAUCAGUUUAAGUGCGUUUGAAUGGCAAGCUUUUGCGAGAACUUUUUAAUUCUUAAAAAGGAAAGAGGAAAGUAAAGGGAAGAGUUCAUAACCCUUGAACACGCACAAUCUUUUCCUGACGUAAAUGGAUGAAACUAAGGCUUAGUUUGGGAGUUUAUGAAGGAAGAGAAAAGAAAAGAAAAGAUAGCUUAGGAAAGAAAAGAAGAGAAGGGAAAAGAUGCAUAUUUCGUUUGGGAGUUUAAUGAAAGAAAAGAAAAGAAAUAUCUUUCUCUCAUUUGAGAGUUGGAGAGAUUUGGAAAGAAAGGAUUUUAUGAGAAUACAACUUUACAUAUUUGCCCUUUCUAUUUGCCCUUUCUAUUUGUUAAACUCUAAAUAACAAAAAUAUGAAAUAUAAUAUUUAAAUAUAUUUUAAUACACACAAGUUGGACGGGUAACUAGUGUGUCAGAGAGUUGCCAUAAUCUCCUUAAACCCGCAUGCGGGUUUAAAGAGUAUUCGGAUAUUCUCAUAUGCACCUAUGCAUAUCGAACCAACCGGAUAUCUUAUCCGUAUCCCAUUUUUUUAAAUAAAAAUCUUAUAAAUUUGAAAAAUAAAAUCAAAUUUAGAUGUAUUAGGGUUUUAAAAAUAUUAUAUAAGUGAUAAAAAUUUUAUAAAUUGUAAAAAUAAAAUCAAACUGCUUGGAUAAUUAAAUGUUAUAUUUGCAUAAGAAAUAAUACAAUAAUCAUAAUAAUGAUAAUACAAUAAUAUUGGUGUAAUAAAACUGCCAUUAAUUUAAAUAUUUACUUAUAAUGCCCAAAGAGCCUAAUUACCAAUUUUUUCUUCUCGCGCUCAAAUAUAACAUUAACCCGCAUGCGAGCUAACCUUGAAAUAGAAAAAACACAGAAUCCUGCUUGCGGGUUUCAACGUUAUUAUGCAGGCGGGAUUUUAACCUGCUUGCUUGUAAACAUGUUUGGAUCUUGAUAUAACAUGUUUGCUUGUAAACACAGAAUCCUUCAUGAUGCUUGGAUCUUUCUUCAUGCUUUUCCAAUUACACAAACUAUAUUUGUAGAAAAACACAUAACAAGAACAGAAUUUACAUCAAAAUAAAAGUUUUAGAUUAAUUCUAUUAUGAAUACAUGGUUUUAUAGAUCCAAAAACAUACAGAAUCUAUUAGACAAAAGAAGAUUCAUGUGGCAACUUGUAUUUAUAAACUCAUACUACUAAUAUAAGAGUACAAGUUAACAAAAUAAGGAUCACAUUUCAACUUAAACAAAAGAAAUCAGCAUCAAGUCAAGUUGUCAUAGUAUGUAAUCAUUCCACAUUUGCAUUGCUAUUUCAUUCCUUAAACUUUCUCCUUGAGCAUGAUCUUUUUCAGCACUUAUAUCUCCACUUUCCUCCUCCGAUGGAGAUUGAUUUGCCAAUUCUUCAUCCACUUCAUUAAUGUACUCCAAGUCAGGGUCAAACUCCAUGAGAAAAUUAUGUAAUAUACAACAAGCAAGCACAAUUUGUGAUUGUGUUUCAACACUAUAAGUUGGUUGAGUAUCUCCAAUGAUUGGAAACCGUUUUUUCAAGACACCAAAUGCUCUCUCAAUUGCAUUACGCAAUGAUGAAUGUCGCAAAUUGAAUAGUUCUCGAAAGUUUUGCGGUUGUUGACCUGAGUAUUCCUUCAGGUGAUACCUUACAUUUCUAUAAGGUGUAAGAAGUCCCCUUCUCAACAUGAAUCCAGCAUCAACAAGAUAAUAUUUACCUAUACAAAUAUCAAAUAGUUACUACUUAAUUAAAUGCACUAAGAAUAAUUAACUAAGUAUUACCAUUAGGAAUGAUUAAUUUAUCUUCUCUAGUGAGCGCAUUUUUUAUGAUCCUUGAAUCCGAUGCAGUUCCCUCCCAACCAGGUAGAACAUAUGUGAAUCUCAUAUUCAAAGAACAUGCAGCAAGCACAUUUUGUGUUGGAUGCUCUUUUCUACCACGAUAUUUUGCCGCAUCAAUAUUAGGCACCUUAACGCGAACAUGGGUUCCAUCAAUUGCACCCACACAAUCCUGACAGUUAUACACUAUGUCAAAAUAUAAUUUCUAUAUGAAUUUACAAUUUUUAAAACAAGGUGUCAAAAAGUUUAUAUCACCUUAAAAUAUGGAUAAAAUCUUGUACUAUUAAGUAUUUCCGGAGGAACUUGUUCUCCCGUAGGCUGCUGAAGAAAUUGAUCCUCCAAUGCUAUAACUGCUCGUAAAACUCUAUGAAAAUGACGACUAACAGUUUCUCCAGAACGCCGAUAAAAGUAUGACAUUGUGAUAUUUUUUGAGGGAAUUGUUAAUAUAUGGAGAAAUUUAACAACUUGCUCUUGCACCGUGGCUCUUUGAGUAGGUUGUAGACCACCAUGUGUUUGCAACAAGUCACACAAGCGCCUAAAAGUUUCUGGUCCCAUACGGAUAACCUUACUCAAAUAUCCAUUUGUACUGAGUUGCAUCAAUAAUUCCUCUCGUACUAAAUGACAUUGUGCAGACCAAUAUCCAAUGGGUCGAUCCACAUAAUUUGCAUGGCUUAGUUUUCGAGCAAUUAUCAUGUUUACUACCUGACAAACAAUUUCAGUAGCAACCAAUUGUCGCUUCCUUUGUUGAAUGUCAUAUUCUCCAUCGACUUCAUUUUGUUCCUUAUCCAUCUAAAACUGUUUGUAUUAGAACACUAAAUUUACGAAUGAGUAAAUAAUUAAAAACAAAUUUUAUUUAUUUACAAGGGUUAUGGAGUCAUUAUCAAAUACAAUGUUAAAAUUCUAAAUAUCAAUAUAAAAAGAAGUAUUUUUCUAAUAGUAAUGUUUUUAAAGUGCUGACAUAAUUUACAGUAAAUAAAAAUAAUCCAACAUCCUAAUAAAUAAAGAUUUUUUAAAUGAAGAUACGGAGAUAUAAAUAUCAUUUUGUCUACCCAAACUUUACUGAAAAAUUCUUCAUGCUUUAAAUUAAGUUGAUCAAGCAUUUGAUUUUUUAUGUCUUUAUUUUGGUCUCAGCCAGGAACACCUCUAUGAAUAUAAAUAGAAUUGCUAUAGCCUAGGAGAUUUACUGAUAUCAACUAACGUAACCAAAUAUGAUUUAUUCUAUUGCCAUAUGGCCACCAUCUUGUUAGACCUCAUUUUGGUUUUGACGAUCAGCCACCAUUCAAAAUAAUACUUCUAGUAUCAUCAUCUUGUUAAUCAUUUCAAAGAAAGAUGCAUUAUUAUAAUAAAAAGAGGCUAACGUAUUGUUUAUGAACUCUAGAUGGAUUAUUUUACAAUUUGAAUCUUACAUAGGCAAAUAAACAAACAGAUUGUAUGCAUUCAAAUUUCAUAUCCAUUUAUCACCACUAAAGCUGUCAUGUACCAUAACCAUGCAAGAUAUAAUCACAAAUCAAUAAUAUAAAAUCAAGAGUUCAUUAACAAGAAUUUUAUGACAGAAAACGAACAAAAAAUUUAGAGUAUAAACAAUAAGAAUCUACACAAAAAAAAAAUACUUUUUUCACAAUGCUCUAGUGAAGACUAAGCAAAGAAAGAAAGAGAGAUUGAGUUAAAGAAAUACCUUUUGUUUGGUGAAUUAUGGGUGAAGAACCAAUGAAAGCCAAGUUUUCUGAUUUCGCAACUUGCUGGAAGUAGUGAAAGUAUAUGACACAGGACCACCGAGAAAGCUUCAUAGUGCUUUUAGAAAUCAGUUUUAGGAUAUAUUGGGAAUAAUGAACUUUUGUAUCAGCUUCUAAAGGACAAACUUGUCAUAUUAAAAAUGUCUUUUGGCGCCCCAUCAUCUUUCCGUCCUUUUCUUCCCACUUUUGGGCGGAAAAAUUUUCAACAAUUGGAGGGAGAUUUUAUCCGUUCAUUUCACUUCUUUUCUGUACUUGUUAAACUCCCAAAGGAAAGAAAUGGUUGUCCUUUCUCUCUGAAUACUUUCUUUUCUGUCCAUUUCACCCUAUCCAAAUGAAGCCAAAGGAAAACAUAAUUCUAAACAGUCUUACAACUUAUUAUACAAUAUCAGGUAGUCCUUCAGAAAUUAUUCAAUUGAAAAAGGUCAACAUCUAACUAGUUCAAUAUUCAUUGCAGCUAAUUCAACUCGAGGAUACUCAUAUCCCUCCAUGUGGCCGCCAGGAUUGACCAAUUAGUUGUUUAGGGAGACAUUGAAUGGACCAUCAGAAGUUUUUCAAGAUUUAGGUACAAUAUCUACCUAUUAUAUAAGAAGAAAGUGGAGUUACUAUAGCAACUCCAAUGAUUGCCAAGUGGAUUCCUCUCAUUUUGAUACAUGGCUCAUUUCUUUUCUUUUCUUCAUUUUGCUUUGUUUUUUCUUUUGUUCACUUUAUUUUCUCUCUCCUUUUUUAUUAAAGAUAAUUAAACAAAUCUUCAUGUACAUUGCAGGUUUGUUAUUUAGUUUCCACUUUGCACUCCAUUUUUUUCCCCUAUGAUCCUAAUUAAUCAUUUAUUCUAUUUUUUCUCUAUUGGAUUAGUUAAUGCAUUUUCUUUCACUUUUGUCCAUAAUUAACUAAAUGAAUGAUUUCAUUAUCGAAGAUCAAGAAUGAGUUUGAUAUUUCCUUUCUUCCAUAGUCCAAUAAUUAUGAUUCAUGAUCUUCUACUUUUAAUGUCUCUUUUUGGUAUAUACUAUUUGAUAUUUUUUUUGUCAUUUUUUGUGUCUUGAUCAGCAACCUUUGCUUAUUGCUUUUCUCACCUAUUUCUUCUUCAUCUGACUUUCUUUUCUGCCCAAAAUAGGUAUGUGAUGUUGUGAAUAUUUUUCCCCAAAUCUAAAGAAACCUUUUUUUUAGUUUUUUAUAUUUUAUUUAUUCUGAAACUACUUUUUGAUCUUUUUAUUUUUGGAAAAGGUUGACAACAAGACGGGUGAUGAUUACAUGAAGAAUUUUUAGGCUAACAAUGAAAGAAUUGUAACUACUUUUCCCUCAUAAAAUAAAAUAAAUAACACCAUUAGGCAGAUUCAUUCUAAUUCUAAUUUUUUAUUUAUUAAAAUUGUUAUUUGAUAAUAGGGUGAUAGUACUACAUUAGAGAAGAAAAAAUCUAAUAAAUGAAAAUCCAAGGUAAAUGAUGAUCAGGAAGAAAAAAAAAUGAUGCCUAUUAAAUUAAAAAUUAACCAAAAUCUCUUAAUUUAUGGAUAGGUAAUUAUAUUUUAAUUUAUAUAAAGUUUAUUAAUUGUGAAAAGUGCUUAUAAACUGGAUAAGAUGGAUGACGGGUAAAAUAAUUGUUGGGGCUAGCAAUUUAGAAUGUGAAGAUAAUAUUUUAUAUCUCUUCAUUCAACAUUUUGAAUGACUAGCUUGUAUCCAUAAUAGGUAGUUUAUUUUCAUGGUUUUAAUUUUAGCAAAUGAUAGCUUGGAAAUAAAAGAAUUGCAAAAUUAGAUUUCAGAAUCUUUUACUUAAACUGGUUCUAUAUGACUUUGUACUCUUAUCCCUUUCUAUUGCCCAUAAUGAUAGAUAAUGUAAUUAAAGUUUGAGAUGAUUGUUAGGCAUAGAACUGGACAUAUCAUUACUAUUUGGCUAAAGAAGUUAAUAAUAUUUUGUCAAUUUGACUAGCUAAAACAAUUGCAGUUUUCAAAGGAAUGCAUUUGGUGGGAAGUUAGUAUUGAGGCUUUUAGCUUAGAGUGUCACUCUACAAAAUAUUAUUAGAAAAUUCUAUUUUGAUUAAGAAGACAUAUUUGCAAUCAAACAAAUUGUUGGAUUUGAAUUUGCAUAUAUGGAUUUACAAAUAUGGCAAUUCAUGUUUUUAUUUAAACUUGCUAUACGUAUUCUAUAACUAUUUGGUUAGAUAAUGUUUUCAUCUAUUUGUAAUGCUAUUAGACAUAUGAUUUAAAUGGAUAGAUUAACUCGCUCUUUCUCUCAAAAAAGAAAGAAAAAUAUGCAAGUUUGUAUUUUUUUUUUUUAUUGAUGUUGAAGAUAGUGACAAGUUUUUGUGGCUUUCUAUAUUUUUUCUAAUUAUUAAAAUGUUAGAAACAUUAUGACUACUCUUUAUUUAAUUACAACUAAAACUAUGCUGCUAUUAAACCGAUAAUGCACUCAUAAUGGAUUUGCUUUCUUUUUUUUUUUUUUGGUAUCAUUACGUACACAUAAUAUUAGUUAAAAAUUCUUUUUCCAAAUCACAAUAAAUUGGGGUUAACUUUAUAUAUGAAAUUUCUUUUCACAGCAAAUUUUAAUUAUUUUUAUACUUAAUUUUUUUCCUAUAUUUCUAUUCAUUAUGUACUAAAGCAUUUGUUACUAUGUAUUUAUCUGAUGUUCUUGAGGGCCCUGGCUGUGCGUUGCACAGCCGAGGUACCUCUAGUCAUGAAAGAAGAAUAUUUUCCAAAAUUUAAGGAGAGACAAGUGUAAGAAAAAAUUUAGAGCCUAUUCAUUAAUUUUGCAGGGGUGGAUGGCAAUUGUGCAACCUCGUGAAGCAUGGUACUUCGCACUUGGCAAAGAUCGUUACAUUGGUGACUGAAUAUUUCUAUCAAGUCAUCUGCAAUAUGACGCUUCAUAGAAAUCAGGAAUUGCAUAUUUAAGUUGCUGUUGAUAAUCAUCCCAAAAAUUGUUUUCCUUAAAGCAAAUACUUAUAGAGGCUUAAGGUGAUACAUAAAUAAAUUCCUUACCUUCGUUAAACAUACAAAUAACCUACAAUUUUAGAAGAUGGGAGAAUAUUAGAUUUGGAUCAAUCCACGAAUAAAGAUUUUUCCGGAGGUGUUGUUGAGAACUGAAUACUGAAAAAAGGAAUGGAACGAUGAUUGUUUUGGAUUUUUGUCACAGCUUAUGGGUGGCAAAUUAGAAGUCUUAAAUUCAAAUGUUAAACAUCGUGUUAUUAGUUGUUUUGCAAGGUAAUAUGUUCCUUAUCUGUUCAAGUUUUGAAGACAAAAUAGAUUACAUAUGUAUUUUGUUUUUUGGCCUUUUUUUUUGGCCAAGUUAUGUCUUUAAUUUGAUUCCAUUGAAGUCGACAGAGAAUGAUUUGAGUAAAUGUAGUAGAGAAAUCCUUUUGAGUACAUAUUGUGGGAUCCUCUCGAAUGACUAUAUAUAUAUAUAUAUAUAUUGUAUAAUAUGUGUAUGUGUGUGUACAAUAUAUUGCGGGAUCCUUUUGAAUACAAUAUAUAAUAUAUGUGUGUAUUAGGUGCAUAGAUUAGCAAAUGAAUUUCUUCGAAACCAUGUAGAAAAAUACUUAUACAUCCAAUUAAAGUUACCAUUUAGCAGUCGUAAUUUUCAAUCAAUUGUGUCUUCUAAUAUGCGGAGUAUCUUCCCCAUAUUUUACUUGUAAUUUCCUUCAUCAAAUCUUUGAUAUCCAAACAAAGCCGAAAUUGCAAAGAAAUUGCUGAGGUGCCACACCAACAUUAACACAACUUGCAUUUGAUUAUUAGAUAAUUGAGAACCCUAAUUGGACUAUAUUUCAAUUAUGAAUGGCACCAAUGAAUUUUCCACUACGUAAACUUUUCCUAUUUUCAACCUUUGUUCGUUUCUCCUUUGUGAAUGUUCUAUGAAGUCUAUGUCAUUGUACACUGUAAUUUCCAUUGAAAUCAAACCACAUGAAACGAGCAUUCGUCAUUUUGUUUACUGCAUUUUUUUCUCUUUUUAGUAGAUAGGAUGUUUUGAAUUCAAAAUUUUUAUUAAUAAUUUUUUUCACCUUAUCAACCAACCAACUCUUCGUGUCCGACCUCAUUUAUCCUUUUGGCUAGAAAAACUAAACUAGUCUGAUAAUUUGGAAUUUGGAAUCCAAGUUUGGCGUACAUCCCAAUCACAAAUGGCAUCGUCACUCCACUAGUUGCAUUAAAGAAUUAUUGUUGUCAUGUUCAUCUAGGACUCUGAUCACGACAACUUUUGGCUGUUAGUAUAAUUUCCUCUAGAAUAAACUGCCCCAACUUUUCCUAUUCCAUUUUUUUUAUAUCUGCAAUUUGUUUUUUUUUUUCUUAUUAUUGCUUUCUCCACGAAUUGCAAUUUUUGUUGAGAGCUGAAGUGUCAUUUGACUUUGGGUGGCAAGCUACGACUGUAAUUUAUUUCCUCAUCACAAGGUCUAUAAAUUCCUCUAUUAACAAUAAAAAUGGCAAUUUUUUCCCUGAUUCAUUUUAGCAUUUCUAAGUUUAAUCUUUUCUGCCAUACCGAAGCUUGACUAUGUAGUGUAUGAGUCACCAGAAAGAAGCCACACAAAAAAAAAAAAAAAAAACAAGAGUUACCAGAAAGAAAAAGAUAUACUAUAGAUCUCAAAUUUUAGAAUUUUAAUAUUAAUAUUUCACAUGACCACAAAAUUAAAGGAAUUACAUAAUCACAUACUAAUUAUGUGGGAGGGAAUACAGAAAUCGAAUCACAAUAUUUUUAACAUCUAAAAUAAUGAAGAAUGUCACAUAAAUUGUGACCAAUAAGUUCAAUAAACUCUACCCAUCGCAGUUUAUCUGAUGGCCAGGUGAGGGCAAUUGGAGUUUUCUCCGCUAACAAGUUUAAGAUUCGAAUCUUAGGCCUGAUACUUGGUUGUGGGAAGAGAAUGCAAAUGGUUGAGAAUGUAAAAAAUAUUUUUAAAAAAUCUCAUAGAAAAAUACCAUGAAAUAGCCUUUUUUUUAAUAAAAACACCAUCAUUCAUUAAAUCUGAACUAAUGAAAGAAAUUAAAUCAAUCAUACACACGAACAAAUAGAUCUAAAGAACAAAAUUAGAUACUACAAAUAUGAAAAAUCAAGAGAAUAAUACACUAUGUAACUCAAAAAAUACUUAAAAGAUAAAAUAGCCUACUUACAACCCACUAAACUUAGUGAAUGAGAAGCUACUCAAAUAAGCGAUCACCUAAUAUAACACCAAUUGCUAAAUUUUUAAAUUAACAAAAAUCCUAAAAACUUGUUCAAUUUGUCAACAAAUACUAACAGUUUCAAUAUGACAAUUGUUGUGAAGCCUUGUGCUGAUAAAAGGUUUUGGUUUGUGGUUCAUUGACUUAAUAGUUGAGACCGUUCUCUUUCCUUGCCGUUUCCAGGAUGCGGCUUCUUUUUUUUUUUUUUUUUAUGUUUUUCUAUGUAGUUUCCAGGAUAUUAGAGGGAUUGAAAUUGUCCUCUUCGAGACCACUUUUGCCUCCUCCUUUUUCAUAAGGUUAUUGCCUCCAAAAUUCCUUGGCUCACUUUGUCUUUUGAACUGGCUUUCAAAUCGUGUAAAUUGCACAUUAAUUCUUCAAUUAUGAUGGAAUUUUAGUAAGCUAUUCUAUUUGUUUAUUUUCUAAUUCUUUUAGUUUCUUGUUUUGGUUCCUGUUUGUUUAGUUUCCAUAUUAAUUUAGGAAGUCUCAAAUCAAUUUCCAAAUACAUUUCAAUUUACAAUUUUAUUUUGUUUAGAAACUUCUGCAAUCUACAAAUACUACUAAUUUAGUACAUUGUUACUUGAAAAGUUGAGUUGAGUUGAGUUGUGAGUUGUGGGUUUGAAAGAAAAUCUCUAAAUUAAGAUUUUGUGAAUUAUCGUGAGUAAAAAAUUAUGACUUGAUAUUGUUAUUGUUGAGUUUUGAGAUAAUAAAAUUAUUAAAUUGCUGUUAUGUGUUUAUUCUCCUUCUCUUCCAUCAUAUUUUUAUAUGUAUUAAAAUUGCUUCCACUGUAUGUGUGCUUUUGUGCCAACAAGUGGUAUUAAAAUUCUAGACUUUGAUCCCGGGCUUGUACAUGAAAUUAGGACACAAAAUUAGUCCUAAUUGAGUAGAGAUUAAAUCCCUAUUAUUUACGACAUUAUGUAGUUUUAAUCUUUGGAGGUAAAAACGAAGUUGAGAUUUGGAAUAUGGUGAUAAGGAUGUUUUUUUCAAGCUAUUAGAGUUUGGGAUAUUAUCCAAAUGGAGUUCAUAGAACCUGCAGAAUAGAGCUGUAAACGAAUCGAAUCGAACCGAGUAUCUCAUGUUUGAGCUCUGUUCGUUAAGCAGUUCGAACAACGUUCGUGUUCGUUCGUUAAUUUUCGAACUCCAAACCAGUGUUCGUGUUCGGUUCGUUAAGUAAAAUUCGUGUUCGAGUUCGGCUCGUUUAACAUAAACGAGCCGUUCGCAAACAUGUUCGAAAUGCUCGAAUCCAAUUUAUUUUAUGCCUUAAAUAUGCCAUGCAAAUUAUUAAUCAUUCUCAAAAAUAAUUAAAGUACUAAGUGACUAAAUUCUAUUAUUCAGUAACUAUAUAACUAACAUUAACAUAAAAGCAACAAAUAAAACAAAGAAAUUUGCCCUCCAAAUAUAAAAGUCCAGCCAUAAAAUUAAUCCUAAAAUUUGUCAAAUGAUAAUUAUGUCUAUGUUCGCGAACGUUCGUUAAAACUCGCGAACAUGUUCGUGUUUGCAAACGUUCGUUUAGCAUGUUCGCGAACGUUCGUUAAAACUCGCGAACAUACUCGUGUUCGCUCGAUUAUUAAUCGAACAAAAAAAUUCGUUCGAACUCGGUUCGUUUAAAAUUUCGAACGAGCCUUUCACGAACACGAACGAGCCGAAACGAACCGAGCUACCGAACAGCUCGGUUCGUUUAACAGCUCUACUGCAGAAGGAGCAAAAUUAUCGAGCAAUAUAGUUAAAGAGUUUGAGAGAAAUAGAUAAUUGGAUUGUAAGACAUUCCAUUAUCUCAGUACGAAAGCUCAGUUGUAUAGAAUUAAAAAAUUCAUACAUGCAAAAAUGGCAAAAGAAGCUUGGACUCACAAUUGAGAAGGAAUUUAUGACGAGAAAGAAGGAAAUGAAUUUUUUAAUGAGGCAGAGAAAGAUUAAAUUAUAAAAAUUGUGGGUACACUUGGAAAUUUCACAAGUGGUUGAGAAAGAAAACAAAUUUACCAGUGAAAUUGAAACUGUGAUUGAAGAUCAUAGCGAGAUAAAAAAUAUUAACUUUAUUGGAACUGAUAAUUUGUUUGAAAAGAUAAAUCAAACAUUGGAGUUGGAUGAGAUUAAUUGUGGAUUUGACAAGUUAGUCGCAAAUUGUGGCAUUGUUGAAACUAAUGUGAUUGUUGGUGUGGAUGAAUCAGAACAAGAUCAUGAUCAGGUUGAAACUUUUGAUGGUGGAAAGUAUGAUUUUGUGAUUUUGGAUUUUCUUGAUGUUAUGGAUGAAUUGAGUAAUAGAAUUGCAAUUAAGGGAUGGGUGAACAUGUUUGAAUUUUUUGACAAAAGAGUUCAUGCCAAAAAAUUGUUUGAAAAGUAUAAGUUUUGUCCACUAUCACAUGUAAUGAUGAAAUCAAAGAUCAAUUGCAAGUUGGUGUUCCACAUCAUUUAUACAGCGAUUGAGGUGAGCUCCACUUUAUACUUGCAAAGCACAAUUUAAGGUGGAGCUCACAAAUCAACAACAUCCAACUAGAGGUGGCAAUAUGGAUAAAUGGUUCAUAAUUGGUUUUGACUUAAUGGAUGGUGGAUGAAAUUUAUCCAAUCCAUUUAGAUCCAUUUAUUAAAUGGAUCUAAAUGGAUGGAUCUAAAUGGAUUAAAUAAAAACCAAUUAUCCAUUUAUAAUCCAUUUAAAUAUUUUUGUUACUUUUUUUUUUACAUUACCAUUUCUUGUAAUAUGAAGAUACUUUUUUAUGUACUUGUAAAUUUUAGAUGUAUUUGGAUAAGGAGGAGGACAAAUUUUAGGUUUUUCCUUUUCUUCCAUACAUCAGUUAGAGUUGAUAAAAGUUUAAGAGGCAUCGAUAAGGAUAACUUUGUGGCCUUCAAUGAGAUUUUGUAGCUCAGUGCUUGAACUGAAAGAAGGAAGAACGCAAAAGCAAAACACCUAAAGCAAUUAUGCAGGUUCCACAAUCAAGAGCAAUUAUAACUCUUCAGGAUAGUUUACAUUUGAAAAGCUAAAAAAAUGCGCUGAGAAGAGAGUGGCUCUUCAUCUUUCGAAUUACAGAAACAGAAUUCAGAUCCAUUCGCCUACUGUUUUAACAGAAAAUGCUAAGACAAAAAAAGGAAAAAGAAAAGGAUACAGUGGCUCAGCAAUAUUCAAUCAAUUCUUGGCAAUGCUAACCGAGCUUGU
rnacentral:lncRNA from 1 species